UCACAUAGAAGAAUUAGAAAGACUUAGACCUAGAGUAUACAGCUAUGUACUGGGGCUUUGGGGAGGAGAACAAAAAAAACAAAUACUAUUGAUUUUUAUAAGUGGUUUUCUACCCGGCAACCUUGCUGAACUCUUUUUAAUUCAAAUAGUAUGUCUGUUGAAUGUAUCGGUUUUCUCUCUUCUCUUCCAAUCCUUUCUUUUUUUUCCCUUUAUGGUAUUGAACAAGACUUCCAGUUCUGUGUUAAACAGUAGUUGGUGAGAGAAAGUAUCUAGUUUUAUUCUCAAUCUUCAAGGAAAUGCAUCUUUAGUUUCUCCAUUUUGUGUAAAAUAUGCUGUAAGGUUUUGGUAUCCUUCACCAAGUUAAGAAAUUUGCCUUCUAUUCCUAGUUUGCUAAGAGUUUUCAUCAUAAGUAGGCAUGUGACAUACUUUUUCUACCUUAUGUGAUUAUUCUCCUUUAGUCUACUAAUGUGGUAAAUUACAUUGAUAGAAUUUCUGAGUUGAAUAAAUUCUCCUUGCAGUCUUAGAAUAAACUCCAUUUGAUUGCUAUGUAUUUUUAACAUAUUGUUGGAUUUGAUUAGCUAAUAUUUUGUUUAAGAUUUGUGCAUCUAUAUUCAUAAGUGAAAUGAGUCUAUAAUUUUCUUUUAUUUUAUUGUCCUUAUCUGGUUUAGAAUCAAGAUUUCAAGAUUAUACUAGAUUGUACUAAACUAAUAAAAUGAGCUGGGCAGCUUUCUCUCUUUUUCUGUUUUCUGGAAUAGCUUGUAUAAGAAGAGAAGUAACUAUUCUUGAGAGUCUGGCACAAUAUACCGGUAAACCCAUCUGGGCAUGGAUUUAGGGGGAAGGGUGGUCCUUGUCUACCAUUUCAAUUUCAUUAAUGCUUAGUGGUAUAUUCAAGUUUUCUACUUCUUCCUAUCCCAUUUUUGUCAUUUUAUAUUUUUUUACGAAAAAAUUUUACCUAGAUUUUCCAAUUAUUUCUGUCUAGUUCCUAACAGUCAGGUUUCUUGCUUGAGUACCUGGUGGUGCCUUCACAGAGACAAGGGUCAUUGGAGAAGCAGUAUGUUUAUCAUUUGGGGGCAGAGGGAGUUGGGCUACUGUAGCACUUCUAGCAAAGCAGUGGCUAUGUGUGCUUCUCUGUUGCUUUGGAUAUUUUUGACUGUAUAUGAAUGUGUGUGUUUAUACAUGAUGCUCUGAGGUGUUUAUGUUUCUACAAAAAUAUCAGACUGAAAGAGAACAGUUUUUCAAAGGGAAAUUAGCUGGAUGAUUCCCCACGUAGCUAUUUUUCUAUAUCUGUUCACAUGGAUCCCUCAGGGGAGCUGCGAGGGGAUAAUUCCAUGGGUCUCUCAAUGUCCCUGUGUACGUCUGCAUCUGUGCCAGUGGGGGAUUCAUUCUGUGUGCUUUUCCACGUCUCAGAGUAUCUGCAACUAUGAGGGUUCGUGAUUCUGUAUCUUUAUGUCUCUGCACAUGUCUCCGUCUCUAAGGGCAGGGGAUUCUAUAUGCAUCUCUUGUGUUUCACUGUAGAAAUAUAUGCAUGGAGUGCACAUGCUACGUGGCAAGUUCAGACUCUCCAAGUCUGGAAGAAACAUUACAACAGGAAAUGCUCUGGAUUCCAGCUUCCGGAUGGAAUUUCACUCAGAAAAAUACCCCUUCCUGGUCCUCCCAAUAACUGCAGCAUUCUUUGUCUUCCUUCAAGAGACUGAGUUGAGGGGGUUUAUGCUAACCUUGACCUCAGAGGCCACGUCUUUCAGGAAGAUUUGGCAGAGCCAUGAAAUUCCACACCCUGCCACUCGUCUCUUGCCAGGCCUACUUCUUCCUCCUAAACCCUUUUAUAGCUCCACAUUAUCUACCAGACCACUUCCAAUCUCAAUUGUCCAGAGAGGCCAGAAGAAGACACAGGAAGAUGAGGACAAAGAAACAGAAUGAGAUUUUUUUAAGGAAAUAAACAAAGAUAGAUAUGGGGACAGAGGAACAGAUAGAUGAGGACAAGUGAUAGAGACAGAGACCAAGAAACAGGGCCUGAAAGAUGGGAAUCAGAAAUGGGGAUAAAGAAACAAAGAAGGAUGGGGGCAGAGAGAUAUACAGAGAGAUGGAGUGGGUAGGGUGGAGAAAGAGAUACUGACAGAAACGAGGCGGGAAUGCAGGGAGAGAAAGAGAUGGGGACAGAGACAGAUUGGGGUCAAAGAGGCAGCUACAUAGAAGACAGGACAGAGAGAGAAUAACAGCCAGGGAGGGAGUAACUGAGAUGAGAUAAAGAUAGAAAUGGUGAUGACGAUGAAGAGGAAGAGGUUGAUGACGUAGAAGCUAACAUUUUUGCGUAUGUGUUAUGUCUGAGGCAUGGUUCUGCGGGCUGUACAUGUGUUAGCUCAUUUAAUGCUCACAGUAACACUGUGAAGCAGGUGCUAUUAUCAGCCCUGCUUUAUAGAUGAGGACACUGAGGCACAGCAAGUCAGUGGCACUACUAGGAUUGGAAUCCAAACAGUCUAGCACCAGUGGCCAUUCUCUUGACUACUCUGCCAGUGAUAGAGAGACAGAGGGACAGGGAGCUGGGGACAAGAUAGCAAACGGAUGAAACACACAUAGGGAUGGAGAGAUGGAGACAAGAGACAGGCACAGGAGCAGAGUGACCCAACAAGAGAGAUGGUAACAGAGAUAGAAAAGGGGUGAUAGAGAGAUAAGGAGAGAAUCAAAUAGGGAAACAAGGGCAAGAAGACCAACAUAAAGGUGUGUGUGUGUGAGAGAGAAACAGAGACAAAGAAUGUAAAUGUUGGAGGGGGAAGAUGAAGACGGAGAUGGGAACAGUAAAGUGAGAACAGAGAAAGAUAGAUGAGGAACAGUGAGAGAUGAAUGCAGCAACACAAAUAGAAAGAUGAGGACUGGGAGACAGCCAGAGCUAAGAGAAAUAGGGACAGAGUGGUGGAGACAAAGGGCGGACAGAAAAGAGGCCAAGGAGCUGAAAGAAAUUGAAAGAGAAAGAAAAGACAGAAAUUUUGGAACACAAAGAAAUUAAGAAACAGUUUACAGAUGGGGAAACUGAGAAUCAGAGUGAUGAGUAACUUGUUCAAGGCCACACAGAGGAGCUAGGAGUGAAGCCUGGACCAGUGGUGAAAGCAUGUCGCGGACCAAAGAUUAGGAUGAAUCCUGUUCUGCCUGCUCUCCCAAGGUGCAAAAAAAAAAUUCCAGUCUGUCUGAUUCCAAGGCCUACAUAUAUGACUACCGUGCCAUACUGCUUCAGUGAAGACUUGCUGACAGACUAAUGGAGGACUGCUGAGCCAAGAAAAUGACCUCACCUCAUGCUUCAGUGACAAAAUAGAAGCCCUUGGACAUCUAGAAUUGUUACAGGGCCUUCAUCUUCCCACCAAAGAGUCUCUAAACCGCCCAGUAUCUGUGUUCCAUACUUGUCUUGUUCCUUCCUGUUACAACAAGGGGCCCAGGGAACUCUCCUCUGCUCUGAGGCCCGGUGUCCCCGAUCCCAACCCCUCCUUUCCCUUGCAUUAUCCCCUUUCUCUUUGUCCUUUCCCUCUCUACUGGAUCAUUCCUAGCAGCAAACAAGCACAGUCUAGUAUCUCCCAUCUUAAAAAAAAAUCAUUCUUUGACCCUCCUCAUAACAUCGCCCUAUCUCGCUGGGUUCUUUUCCCAUUCAAGGGAAUUGCCCACACCUAGCUCCACUUCAGCGGGGUGGGGGGAUGUGUUCUAUUCUCUCUCCCCUCUAGGAGGGUCCUCUAACAACCUACACUCCUACCAACAUUUGAUCCAAUUAUUCCUGUUUUUUUUUAAUUUUAUUUUUCAUGAUAUAGAUUAUAAAUUUUAGAAUAUAAAUAUCUGUACAGUUUGAAUAAAUGAUAAAACAAAUAUCUGUGUACCUGUCACACAGCUUCUAAAACAGAUAAUUUUAAACAGAUAAUUUUGUUUUCUGCUUUAUCUCCCCAAAUCCCCCUAGUACAUAGUUGUAUA